rnacentral:rRNA from 1 species
CCUACGGGUGACAGCAGUGGGGAAUAUUGGGCAAUGGGCGCAAGCCUGACCCAGCAACGCCGCGUGAAGGAAGAAGGCUUUCGGGUUGUAAACUUCUUUUGUCAGGGAAGAGUAGAGGACGGUACCUGACGAAUAAGCCACGGCUAACUACGUGCCAGCAGCCGCGGUAAUAGGUAGGUGGCAAGCGUUGUCCGGAUUUACUGGGUGUAAAGGGCGUGUAGCCGGGUUGACAAGUCAGAGGUGAAAUCCUGCGGCUUAACCGCAGAACUGCAUUUGAAACUGUUGAUCUUGAGUACUGGAGAGGCAGACGGAAUUCCUAGUGUAGCGGUGAAAUGCGUAGAUAUUAGGAGGAACACCAGUGGCGAAGGCGGUCUGCUGGACAGCAACUGACGGUGAGGCGCGAAAGCGUGGGGAGCAAACAGGAUUAGAUACCCCGGUAGUC